GGCUGGUCCACGACGCAGUCGGCGAUGAAAAGCUUCAUGGGGCUACUCACUUGCCAUCUUACACUCUGACAAAGAAACGUCGCAAACACAUUUUGCAGCUCACCACGUCUGCCUGCUUUGACGGCGAGAGUCGUCAAUUGGUGUUGUGCAGCCAAACAGUGGACGCGGCACUGAGUUGACUUUGACCAAACCGUGGUUGUAACGCACCAACUCUGAAAGAUGAGCAAGUCUCCGACCUCAAUGGAAACCCCGGUGCAACGGAGCCCCAGCAAUGGGGUCCUUGAAAGCCUCCAGUCUCCUCAGCAUUCAACUCCUGGCUCUGAACCGCAAUUUAAGAAACACAUCUCCAGCCUUCUUCAGAGUCCGUCAUUCAAGGAGGAGCUGGAUACGCUUAUCCAGGAACAGAUGAAGAAGGGUGGUAGCUCUUCAAACCUUUGGGCACUCAGGCAAUUGGCUGACUACAUGGCCUUGCACGGCUCACCUGCAACCCUACCAGUCUCCCCAUCUAACAUGAUGACGGUAACACCCAUUAAUGACCUCCAAGGCUGGGAUCCUGGCAGCAUGGUCAAAGGGGAGCGGCUAAUGCGCUGCAAGCUUGCCAGCGUGCAUCGUCUUUUUGAUCUCUAUGGAUGGGCUCAGAUCAGUCACACCUGUCUCACUCUGCGUGUUAGCAAAGAACAGGAACAUUUCUUGGUGCUACCAGAUGGCCUAGCCUGCAGCGAGGUUACUGGAUCAAGCCUGGUAAAGGUGAAUAUCUUGGGUGAAAUGGUGGAGAAGGGCAGUACAAACCUUGUUGUGGACUCAGAGAAGUUUAGCCUGCACUCAGCCAUCUAUUCGGCCCGACCAAAUGCCCGCUGCCUACUUCACCUCCACACACCGGCCACGGCAGCAGUCUCAGCUAUGAAAUGUGGCCUGCUGCCAUUGUCCCAUGAAGCCUUGCUGGUCGGGGAUGUGGCCUAUUAUGAAUACAACGGAGUAAUGGAGGUGGAGGAAGACCGUGUGGAGCUUCAGAAGAGCCUUGGACCCACUUGUAAGGUACUGGUGCUUAGAAAUCAUGGCAUAGUGGCCCUGGGGGAGUCUGUGGAGGAGGCCUUCUACGCAAUCUACCACAUUCAAGCUGCCUGUCAAAUCCAGGUUUCAGCUUUGUGUAGUGCCGGCGGUGAACGGAACCUGAUCUUACUUGACCGGACCACCCAUAAACCCAAUCACACUGGCACAGUGGGGUGGGCGGGCUCUACCUUUGGCCCAAUGCAAAAGAGCCGCAUUGGAGAACAUGAGUUUGAAGCCCUCAUGAGAACUCUAGAUAAUUUGGGUUACCGUACAGGUUAUGCCUACCGAUUCCCUUUGCUGCUGGAAAGAUCACGGUCACAAACACGAAAGGAUAUAGAGGUUCCUGCAACCGCCACAGCCUUUCAUCAAUUCAACGAUGAUGGAGUUCCUUUGGGUCUCAAGCAGCACCCUUUUACCCAUCGACAGCAGCAGGAGAGAACUCGAUGGCUCAACACUCCCAAUACCUACCAAAAAGUCAGCCAGGAGCAAGCCAGUCCUGGACACCAGCGCAGUACUUGGCUGAAAACAGAAGAAGUGACACAAGCUGGUAGUACAGCGAUCAAGAUAGAAACCCCAAACCAGUUUGUGCCUCUUUUUACUAACCCUCGGGAAGUGAUUGAGACACGAAACAAGAUUCGACAGCAGAAUCGUCAAGACAUGAAAACAGCAGGACCACAGUCUCAGGUCCUCGCCAGUGUGGUAACAGAUGAUAGUCCCCCGUCACCUGUCACCCCACCCCAAGUACCACCAGAGCCUGAAAGUCCCAACCCCUUUAAUCAGCUCACAGACCAGGAGCUAGAGGACUACCGCAUGGAAGUGCAAAAGAAACAAGAUAUCGGGACCAACGGGCCGGAGGUGACAAAUGACACUUCCCCUACUUCCUCCCCCACAAAGGGCCCUCUGCCCAAUCACCCCACUCUUCCAGGUGAGGUUUUGGAGGUGCACUCACUGCCUGCCCUGCAUGCCAUGCACAGUGGCUAUGUGACCCAGCUGCCUGCUGCAGUCUUCCAUGAACAAUUCUGAUCGACUCUGCCCUGCUGCUUUUACCCGCUCAUGCUUCAGAUGGUGCCUGAUGGCCAUGUUACUCCUCAUAGUGGCCACCAACCACCUCUGUGGUGUUUGAUCCUAAUUGGAUAAAGUACAGCAUAAAAGAAUAUCAUAAGCAUGUGCGGUGUACGUUUAAUUGGCUGUAAAGAUAAAGUAAAUAUAUGCAAUCAACAAAUAGAUUCCCACUAUUCUAAAUAUAACGAUGUACUGUACACUGGUAUUGUACAAUUCAUAAAUGAUUCAUUCUGGUGACCUUGUGAAGUGAUGGUGGCCACAGGCAUAACCUUUUCUACAUUUUCUUUUUUGUAAUACAUAAUACUAAUGAAGUAUUAUAUACUGGGGGCAGCUACUGCCUGCACCCAAAAUGGUGACUACCCCCAGCAGAGCAUACUGUAAAAGUUGGACUAGAUUCCAAUCUAGCAAAUUUUGAUGAAACUAUACAAUAUUUUUACAGUAUAUGGACCUCACGUUGACAAUACUCUCCUGUUAACAGUUUUCAUUUCAAGAACAAUUUCCCGUAAUAGAUCGUGGCAGUGACAAUAUGUUUGUGGUUGUCUCAGGGGUGGAGCUACAUGGUGGCCAGAGGUGGCUAGGGACACCCCUGGUCAAUUCCCACACCAAGGGAAACAUUUUGAUAUUUGUUAUCUUUCUACCAUUUUCAUAUGAAUGCAGUAUUCUUAGACCCUUCGAUACUCUCCUACAAGUUUUUUAUUUUAUUAACUGUCACAAAUAUUGAGCUUAAUGCUAAAAAAAGAAAAUUUGAUUCUUAGUCACUAUCAAUCAAAUUAAUUACUUUCACACCACAGCAAACAAACAUAGCUAAAGAGUCAUUGUUUACUAUACAAUCCACUGUCAAGAUCUGACAAAAUAAAAUACACACAAAUACAUACCAAUUUUGCACAUACACACAAUACAGGAAGGAACAAAUCUAAUGAAAAAGAACUGUGACACAUUAUGGGUUUCUUGUGGUAUUGCAAUUAAGAUUGGUAUGGAAGGAAUGAGCACCCGAAAUGCAAAUUCGGUAUGCAAACUGUCAUUGGGUCAUCUCUGACUAAUACCUACUGAUUGUCUGUUAGCUAGUGAAUCAGCGCAUAAGAUAGAAGUGGAUUAUGAGUUCAUACACAAAAGCAAAGCCAUGUUUUAGCUGUCGUCUAUUUUCUUUUAGAGGACAUUUUGGCGCUAACUGUAAACAAGCCUGCACAGUCACUGAUGGUUUACAGCUUUACAUGUGUCUCAAGUCAAAAUGUUUUGCUACCUAAGUCAUCAGUGUUGAUAGCGAUCCAUCUGUCCCUGUACCCACUGUGUCUCCUGUACCUGUGUCCCUCUGUGUCUGUCUGUCCUUUUCUGUGUUACUCGGCAAAUGAUUCAUAGGGCACACCUCUGGUGCUUUGGUCUUGUCUCACUAGAGAUACAAAGACGGACUGCCCGGUCAUACAGAACGGAGGUGAAGAGGAGAAGCAAGCUGAAGAACUAGAAAAAGGGAUGAAGGAGCUUUCUACCAA